CACUGUGGCCGUUCGGUCACGUCAGUGCACGAGCGUCCGAGCAGGCAGUAGCGCGCUACCGUUACUGUGCACGCGUUUCCAUGGACGGUUGCUAAUGUGAUGACGGUGGAGACUCAUGCUGAAUGCUGUUCCUUUGAAGUCAACAACCAUCCUCCUUUGUACCUCGCCCAAAACAUCAUUUCUGAUGUUAGAGCCAGUGAACCUGAGGCCAUUUCAAUCCGGCAGUAGAAUAUAUUUGAACCAAACUCUUUCUUCAAAAGUGCAAUUGUGUACACUUUCUAGCGUGACUCACAUGAGUAUGAUCCAAAGAAGGAAGACUCCUUUUCUUUUGGUCAAUCCAAGGGUUAUGGACAGCGUGAGAAAGAACUGUGGAAAAUCCUGUCCUCUUCCCUACUCCCCAGUACACAAGGCCAGUGCCGGCCACCAUCGAGAACUUGUUCUGCUGCCGCUCCGGGACAUGACCUGUGCACUCCUCUGCCACUCCAGCUCCAGCCCGCUUGCUCCACCGCUGCUGUGGGACCCGGCUCAUGCUUGCUCUGCUGCCGCCACUGGACUCGGGGACAUUUUAUUACACUAAAGCAUCAUAUAAAUAUGACUUCCUGUUGCUGUUGAAGUAGUCCAAUAACCAGAAGUAUUCUGGGUAGUAGUGGCAGGACUCAUUUAUGUUAUCACAAUGCUCUGGAGACUUUGCCAAUAUCUCAAAUAAAUGUUCGUUGUCGACAAACAAAAACAAAAGAACUGAACUGUUGGAGAACAUACUUGGAGAAUUUUGAACUCAAUGUAAACAGCAGAGAAUCUAAAAAAGGAACCAGAAUAGGUUUAUUGCAAAUUCCAAUCCCCUUCACCACCAACUCUCCAAGCUACUCAGCAGUACUAUACAUGAUCACCUGCUUCUAAUCACCCUAUCAUUCCUUUUGUGUUCCCAGGGGCCUUUGUAGCAGAUAAACACACAGUUAGAGAAACUGGAACUAUUUUGCUGAAUAAUUUCAGAAGUAAGGGGAAGACCGCAUGUGAAAAUGAGAGAUUAGAAAAAUAUUCAACAAUUAAAAUUCCUUCAUUAUUGGAACUAUACAAAAAAGAAAAUAAAACAUAGGAAUUUGUUUAAAAUAGUCAUAAAACGAACAGAAACAUUUUCAGAGAAAGUAACAAAAAAAGGCUUUGGAAUUAGAAUACAGAAGCCACUUUUCAGUCAAGAAAUAGUCACAGAAGAAUCCAAAGAUCGCCUGUGCUCCCAUUCACUGACCAGAACAGCAUCUCCAAGGCAACAUCAGGAACCUGGAUGCUUAAUUGCAGAAGCUUUCUGGCUCUCUGUAAUCAGGGAACGCUUCUUGUGUAAG